GCUUGAGCACGUAGGUGGGUUUGUAAGUCAGAUGUGAAAGCCUUCUGUUCAACGGAAGAAUUGCAUCUGAAACUGCGAGUCUUGAGUGUAGGAGGGGAGAAUGGAACUUCUGGUGGAGCGGUGAAAUGCGUAGAUAUCAGAAGGAACGCCGGCGGCGAAAGCGAUUCUCUGGCCUAUUACUGACACUCAGUGUGCGAAAGCUAGGGGAGCAAACGGGAUUAGAUACCCCGGUAGUCCUAGCCGUAAACGAUGGGCACUAAGUAGAGGGAAUUACCGAUGUUCUCUCUGCCGUAGCUAACGCAUUAAGUGCCCCGCCUGGGGAGUACGGCCGCAAGGCUAAAACUCAAAAGAAUUGACGGGGGCUCGCACAAGCGGUGGAGCAUGUGGCUUAAUUCGAUGCAACGCGAAAAACCUUACCGGGGCUUGACAUGGUAGAAGUAGGAACCCGAAAGGGUAACGAGCGGUAUCCAGUCCGUAGCUAUCACAGGUGUUGCAUGGCUGUCGUCAGCUCGUGUCGUGAGACGUUGGGUUAAGUCCCCUAACGAGCGAAACCCUUGUUUUUAGUUACCAGCGGGUUAUGCCGGGUACUCUAGAAAGACUGCCGUCGUCAAGACGGAGGAUGGUGGGGAUGACGUCAAGUCAUCAUGGCCCUUAUGCCCCGGGCUGCACACGUGCUACAAUGGUCGGUACAAACGGAUGCGAAGCCGAGAGGUGAAGCGAAUCCAAGC
rnacentral:rRNA from 1 species